CAGUGAUCUUGAUUCUACGCAAUAUGGCAUGAAAGUUGCGCCACCACUUGUCCAAACAGCGCCAGGAGCGGGUGCAACUGCUGCUGCAGGAACAUUGGGAACAGGGGAUCAGAGCCGCGAAGAAGCUGGAGAAGAUGCAAGCAAGUGGGAGAAGAAGCGCAAGAUGAGCUCGACUGCGACGCCAGAGAUGACACAAGAUACCAGUAGCACGCCUAGUACAAGAUCGGUGAAGGUGGCUAGGAAAGAUUAAUAACCGGUCUCCCCUCUGAACUUUGCUGCGUGGAUGUAUAGAAUAGGGUAGGAUAGAUUUGGACCAUCCAACCAACGCGAUCGAUCAGUUGGAGAGAUGGUGCGCCCUCACGUGGCACUUGAAUGUAUGCAUCAAUUUUGCUAUAUAGUCUUAAUGGUGGCAGUUCUGUC